UCCAAUGUGCCAAUGGUGGGUUGGUUUCCAC
rnacentral:piRNA from 1 species